rnacentral:rRNA from 1 species
CGGGAGGCAGCAGUAGGGAAUCUUCCACAAUGGGCGAAAGCCUGAUGGAGCAAUGCCGCGUGAGUGAAGAAGGUUUUCGGAUCGUAAAACUCUGUUGUUGAAGAAGAACAUGCGUGAGAGUAACUGUUCACGUACUGACGGUAUUCAACCAGAAAGCCACGGCUAACUACGUGCCAGCAGCCGCGGUAAUACGUAUGUUCCAAGCGUUAUCCGGAUUUAUUGGGCGUAAAGCGAGCGCAGACGGUUAUUUAAGUCUGAAGUGAAAGCCCUCAGCUCAACUGAGGAAUUGCUUUGGAAACUGGAUGGCUUGAGUGCAGUAGAGGAAAGUGGAACUCCAUGUGUAGCGGUGAAAUGCGUAGAUAUAUGGAAGAACACCAGUGGCGAAGGCGGCUUUCUGGACUGUAACUGACGUUGAGGCUCGAAAGCGUGGGUAGCAAACAGGAUUAGAUACCCUGGUAGUCCACACCGUAAACGAUGAGUGCUAGGUGUUUGAGGGUUUCCGCCCUUAAGUGCCGCAGCUAACGCAUUAAGCACUCCGCCUGGGGAGUACGACCGCAAGGUUGAAACUCAAAGGAAUUGACGGGGACCCGCACAAGCGGUGGAGCAUGUGGCUUAAUUCGAAGCAACGCGAAGAACCUUACCAGGUCUUGACAUCCCUUGACAACUCCAGAGAUGGAGCGUUCCCUUCGGGGACAAGGUGACAGGUGGUGCAUGGUUGUCGUCAGCUCGUGUCGUGAGAUGUUGGGUUAAGUCCCGCAACGAGCGCAACCCUUACUACUAGUUGCCAGCAUUCAGUUGGGCACUCUAGUGAGACUGCCGGUGACAAACCGGAAGAAGGUGGGGGACGACGUCAAAU